CCUUUUGUAUAAUGGGUCAGCGACUUAUAUUCUGUAGCAAGGUUAACCGAAUAGGGGAGCCGAAGGGAAACCGAGUCUUAACUGGGCGUUAAGUUGCAGGGUAUAGACCCGAAACCCGGUGAUCUAGCCAUGGGCAGGUUGAAGGUUGGGUAACACUAACUGGAGGACCGAACCGACUAAUGUUGAAAAAUUAGCGGAUGACUUGUGGCUGGGGGUGAAAGGCCAAUCAAACCGGGAGAUAGCUGGUUCUCCCCGAAAGCUAUUUAGGUAGCGCCUCGUGAAUUCAUCUCCGGGGGUAGAGCACUGUUUCGGCAAGGGGGUCAUCCCGACUUACCAACCCGAUGCAAACUGCGAAUACCGGAGAAUGUUAUCACGGGAGACACACGGCGGGUGCUAACGUCCGUCGUGAAGAGGGAAACAACCCAGACCGCCAGCUAAGGUCCCAAAGUCAUGGUUAAGUGGGAAACGAUGUGGGAAGGCCCAGACAGCCAGGAUGUUGGCUUAGAAGCAGCCAUCAUUUAAAGAAAGCGUAAUAGCUCACUGGUCGAGUCGGCCUGCGCGGAAGAUGUAACGGGGCUAAACCAUGCACCGAAGCUGCGGCAGCGACACUAUGUGUUGUUGGGUAGGGGAGCGUUCUGUAAGCCUGUGAAGGUGUGCUGUGAGGCAUGCUGGAGGUAUCAG
rnacentral:rRNA from 1 species